rnacentral:lncRNA from 1 species
CAGAGAUGCAGCUUCUGGGUCUGGCCUGUCUUACCAUCAAAACCCUUAUGGCCGUCAGAAACAUCUCCAGGAGUAGAGCACCUUUUGCUGAGGUGAACCUGAAUGUUGUCGGACAGCUGCAGAUCUCCCAGGUAACAUUUCCUCAAGUGGAGUUUUUAAGAAUGACUAAAAUUUGUUCUCCCCCAAGCAGGGUGUUUACUUUCUGUGUCCAGUGUUCUCCAGAUAAUGUGCAGUACAGCACUUACCUUUAGAAUCAAGAAACUUCCUUGAGCAUUGCUUUAACCCGUGGGCUUUAUUGAUUUGAGAUGCAAAAAAACAUUGUAUGGCAAAACUUUGGUUAUUAUAACCAGAUCUAAACAAGAAAGACUAACAUCAGUUUUGACAACAAACAAAACCAGUUUUUGUUCUAUCGGUUCUGUUUAAGAGAUUCCAAUUUCAAACCAAACACAACUUGUGGUUAUUCUGUCAGAUAUUUAUACAGCCACUGGGGCGCCAUAGUUAUGCACCGCAUACAUCAUUGUAUUUUUAAAAUGUACUUAAUGAACAUUUUUUCUUUUCUGGUAACUACUUCAUUGCCUUAAAUGAAUGCAUUCCAAUAGAAUUUGUAACAAAUGAGCACUUUGUGUUUGCAUUAAUGCCAAACACGUUUAACAAAUUUUUAACAAGGAACACUGGCAAAAAGCCAAACUCCUAGAGGGACACUGAAGGAAUGCUAUAAAUUUAAACUAGAUUUUACCUUUUCACUCUGCUCAACAAGUGUCUUAGGUGUCUUUGGCAUCUCAGCAUUGAAAAUUUUCUACGUAGGUUGGAUACAAAUUUAUGCUUUAAUUAUUUUUCUUCUUGGCCCUCCUCACUAGAGAUUUCCAUGUCGAUAUAACAGGCUUUAACAGGUUACUGUAUUCUUUAGAGAGUGAGAGGUGGGUUUUCUUUCUUUCCUCAAGAGUUAGGCCAGGAGGAAGUAGCAAAGCCAGCAUUUAUUGUUGGGCUGUGAUGACAGGGAGGUUCAAACAGCACAUGUCGUGCCAUUGUCACAUCUGUGUUAAGGGACCUCUGCAGUGGGAGCCCUGCAGCAGAUCUGCGCUACCCAAUUUUGCUGCUUGUGCUGAGUCGCAAAUAUCUGGGCUGUGAUCGUGUUUGCAACUGCACUUGAGGGGCAGGGGAAACAGCCCACAGGGCUCCCCCUGGCCCCAGCUCUGAGCUCACACAGAAGCCACGAACAGAUUUUUGGCUGAAUCAAACUUCUGGGGGGUUUUUCAGUUGUUAAGUUAUGCCCACAUGGUACAUGUCAGUACAGACCUUGGGAAUCACCUACUCUGUAAUACAUGUUCGUAUUAAAAGUGUUACAAGUAGCUCCACAAACCACAUGCUUGCUCUUUACUUGUAACUUAAUAUAUUAAUUUAAUUUUUACUGUGUUAUUUCAGUUUUAAUCAAAUGCAGGAACUGAAAAAUAAUAAUACUUAGCACUCAUCCAAGACUUUUUAGGCACAUUACAAACAUUAAGCCUUGCAAAUUCCUGUGAGGAGCCUGAUGUAUGCCUGCUGUAGCAAAGAGCAAAUUAAGCACAGAAAAAUGAUAUGACUUUUUCCUUAGUUCCACAAUAGACUGGCAGCAGGGGCAGAAUUUAGAGUGUCAGGGUUUUUUCUUAGUUAAUAGAGUCAUUCUUUUCAUGGUUUUACACAAAGGUAAAAAUUGAGAAUGCUUUUUUUUUUCCUCCCUCCUAUAAUUUACAUGAUGUUGUUGCAAGAGGCAUAGGCAAAUUCCAGAACAUCACUUGAGAAGACUUGAUGAGUUAUAGCCUUAUUCCAGCCUAGUUACUUGUUUCCAGAAAAUGAAAUAAUUUCCCAUCAUUUGUUGGUGCUCUGAUUGCAGUAAUGAUGAAUGAGUCUGGAGAAGGAAACUGAGGAAUUCAUCCUGACAGCUUUUUCAAGGAUGUCACAUUAUAGUGCAGAGGCCUUGUUGUAGAUUAGGGAACAGAAGUAGCCCUCACAGGUUUUCAUUAAUGAUAUCCUUCCCUACUAACAUUUGGUCAGAUACCAGUUCCCUGCAAUAAAGUGUCUACUCCCUCUCUUUCUUACUCA